rnacentral:rRNA from 1 species
GCCUACGGGGGGCAGCAGUAGGGAAUUUUCGUCAAUGGGCGCAAGCCUGAACGAGCAAUGCCGCGUGAACGGGGAAGGUCUUCGGAUCGUAAAGUUCUGUUGAAGGGGAAAAAGAGCGGAGAGAGGAAAUGGUCUCCGAUUGAUAUUACCCUUCGAGGAAGUCACGGCUAACUACGUGCCAGCAGCCGCGGUAAUACGUAGGUGGCGAGCGUUAUCCGGAAUGAUUGGGCGUAAAGGGUGCGUAGGCGGCCUGCCAAGUCUGGAGUGAAAGGUACCGGCUCAACCGGUACAGGCUCUGGAAACUG